rnacentral:misc_RNA from 1 species
ACAAACUUGGUCAUUUAGAGGAAGUAAAAGUCGUAACAAGGUCUCCGUUGGUGAACCAGCGGAGGGAUCAUUACUGAGUUCUAUAACUCCUACCCUAUGUGAAUAUACUCUAGUUGCCUCGGCAAGCCCGUACAACUUGCCGGUGGACCACUAAACUCUGAUUUGUCCACUGUAUCUCUGAAUUUAGUUAACAAAAUACGUUAAAACUUUCAACAACGGAUCUCUUGGUUCUGGCAUCGAUGAAGAACGCAGC